AGAGUUUGAUCCUGGCUCAGGAUGAACGCUGGCGACGUGGAUAAGGCAUGCAAGUCGAGCGAUCCGACUUCGGUCGGAGAGCGGCGAACGGGUUAGUAACACGUAGGAACGUACCCCAUUCACAGGGACAACUCCGAGAAAUCGGAGCUAAUACCUGAUGGUCCCGCAAGGGUAAAGGUGUAGAGCAAUCUACUCCGGAGUGGGAAUGGCCUGCGGCCUAUCAGCUUGUUGGUGAGGUAAAGGCUCACCAAGGCUAUGACGGGUAGGCGGUGUGAGAGCAUGACCGCCAACAGGGGAACUGCGACAUGGUCCUCACUCCUACGGGAGGCAGCAGUCGAGAAUCUUCCACAAUGGGCGAAAGCCUGAUGGAGCGACGUCGCGUGCAGGAUGAAGGCCUUCGGGUCGUAAACUGCUUUUGGGGAGGAAGAAGUGCCGUACCUCAUUGCAUUUGGAUGAUGGUGAAUGUUGAACAUUGAACAAUGGAGAGCGAACAAUGAACAAUGAACAAUGAACUUUGACAGACAGAAAAGAAUUUUGUCAUAGUUCACGGUUCAAAGUUUAAAGUUCAUUCACAGCUAUUCAUAGUCCAAAGUUCAUAGUUCGCAUCCGAGUGUAGUGAGGUACGGCUCUGACGGUACUCCCAGAAUAAGGGGCCGCUAAACUCGUGCCAGCAGCGGCGGUAAUACGAGUGCCCCGAGCGUUAUCCGGAAUUAUUGGGCGUAAAGGGUCCGUAGGCGGCCUUGUUAGUCUCCCGUUAAAUCUCAGGGCUCAACCCUGAAACCGCGGGGGAAACGGCAAGGCUAGAGAGUGUGAGAGGCUAGAGGAACUCACGGUGUAGGGGUGAAAUCCGUUGAUAUCGUGGGGAACACCAAAGGCGAAGGCAUCUAGCUGGCGCAACUCUGACGCUGAGGGACGAAAGCGUGGGUAUCGAAUGGGAUUAGAUACCCCAGUAGUCCACGCUGUAAAUGUUGGAGACUAGCUGUCUGAAGUGUCGACCCUUCAGGUGGCGAAGCUAACGCGUUAAGUCUCCCGCCUGGGAAGUACGGCCGCAAGGCUAAAACUCAAAGGAAUAGACGGGAAUUUGCACAAGCGGUGGACCAUGUGGUUUAAUUCGUCAACAAGCGAAGAACCUUACCAGGGCUUGAAACUCAAGUGAAACCCCGCGGAAACGUAGGGAUAUCUUACAAGACACUUGGGCAGGUGGUGCACGGCUGUUGUCAGCAUGUGGCGUGAGCUGCCCCCUUAAAUGGGUUAACAUGCGCAACCCCUACUGUCUGUUAUAUGUGUCAGGCAGGACUGCUCGCUUUCAGUGAGAGGAAGGUGGGGACGACACCAAGUCAGCGUGCCCUUUUGAUGCCCUGGGCGACACACGUGGUACAAUGGGUAGUACAAUGCGUUGCCAAACCGCAAGGUGGAGCUAAUCGCAUCAAAGCUACCCCCAGUUCGGAUCGAGGUCUGCAACUCGACCUCGUGAAGCCGGAAUCGCUAGUAAUCGCGGGUCAGCCAUACCGCGGUGAAUACGUUCCCAAAUUUUGUACUCACCGCCCGUCACACCAGUGAAGCCGGUAGUACCCGAAAACUCCGCGAUUUAUCAAGGGGUUUACGGUAAGAUCGGUGACAAGGGUGAAGUCGUAACAAGGUA
rnacentral:rRNA from 1 species